ACGCUCGACACCUACGGGAGGGCAGCAGUGGGGAAUAUUGCACAAUGGGGGAAACCCUGAUGCAGCAACGCCGCGUGAAGGAAGACGGUUUUCGGAUUGUAAACUUCUGUUCUUAGUGAAGAUAGUGACGGUAGCUAAGGAGCAAGCCACGGCUAACUACGUGCUAGCAGCCGCGGUAAUCUGAGCGGGCUGGCAAGGC
rnacentral:rRNA from 1 species